rnacentral:pre_miRNA from 1 species
UUCAUAUGAUGAUGAUGAUGAUAAUGAUGAUGCUGAUGUUGAUCAUCAUCAUCAUCAUCAUCAUCAUCAUCAUUAUUAUCGUCAUCAUCAUCA